rnacentral:lncRNA from 1 species
AUCGGAAGAGAUUAAUUUCUUAUAAGAUAGAUGUUGAAAUGUGAGAGUCACACAUUGGAAAAACAAAGAGGACUCACACUUCUUAUAAAAUAGAUGAACUACUCAUCUCAUUGUCAAUUAGUAGUAACUUACAUCUCAACCCUAAACCCUAAACCCUAAAUGUUUGCCGAUGAUAUUGAAUGCAACCUCACACAUCUUCUCUUUAAGGAUGAUAUUCUUUUAUUUGUUGAAGAUAAUGAUAAAUAUAUAACAAAUUUUAAGAAUAUCAUCUUUUUAUUUGAAGCGGCAUCUGGUCUGAAUUUCAAUCUAUCAAAGUCCACCAUAUCUCCCUUUAAUGUCGACAACUGCAGAACUGAUGUUGUGUGUAAUCUUUGGGGCCUAAAAAAAUAGUACCUUCCAAUUCCUUACCUUGGAGUUCCGUUAGGAGGAAAGCCAUCUUCAGCAUCAUUUUGGGAGAAUAUCUCAGCAAAAAUUCAUAAGAAAUUGAACAACUGGAAAUUCUCUUAUAUCUCAAAAGGGGGGAAAAUGACUCUCAUUAAAUCCACUCUAAUCCAUUUGCCCACAUAUCAACUAUCGAUAUUUAAAGCUCCAGUUGGCAUCUGUAAAAAAAUUGAAAAAUAUUGGAGAGAUUUCUUAUGGAAGAACAAAAAUGAAGACAAGCUUACCCACCUCCUUAGAUGGUCCAAAGUCACUCUUUCUAUUGAAAAGGGUGGUCUUGGUAUACAUAAAAUAGCAUAUACCAACUUUUCCUUCUUAUGCAAAUGGCUUUGGAGAUUCCAUACUGAAGCAGAUCCCCUCUGGAAAAAAAUUAUUACUGCUAAAUAUAAUCAGUCCUUCAGUGGAGAGCUGCCUGCAUAUGGAAAAUAUAGUUCUUUGAAAGCUCCUUGGAGAAAUAUUAUCAAAGGUGUCGACUGAUAUAAUGCUCAGAUCAAAUGGACGGUAAACAAUGGCGAAAAUUUCUCCUUUUGGAAAGGAUUUUGGUGUGAAAUCAGCCCCAUAUACAGAUAUAAACCAAGGUUAUUUGCCUUAUCUACCAUCCAAAAUGGCUCCAUAAAAGACGUGGAAUUGCAACAUUUUGGAUUGGGACUUCAAACCAAGAAGACCCCUUCGAAAUUGUGAACAUCAGCAAUGGAAUGAAAUCAAGCAACAUCUCAAAUCCCCAAAUGACAGUAGAACAAAUGACAGUAGAGGUAUUGACUAUCCCACUUGGAAAUUGAACAUUAAUGAUAAAUUCUCCGUUGCUUCUGUUAAGAAAGUCUUUUCUAGCUUGAACCAAAGAGAUGAUUUUAAUAUUGAUGAUAACACCUUUUCUCAACUUUGGAAAACCAAAAUCCCCAAGAAAUGUCGUUUUUUCAUAUGGUCUCUUUUACAUUGUUGUAUUAACACUGCUGACAUUCUUCAGAGAAAAGUUCCAACUCUCAAUCUAAGUCCAAAUUGGUGUUCUUUAUGCAAAAGACACUCAUAGGAGAUUGAUCAUAUUUUCAUUGAUCGUCAUACUGCCAAAAUUCUAUGGAACAAGCUUGAAGGACUUAUGGGAUGAUGGAAAAUCCAACAGCAGAAUGUUGUUUCCUUAUGCUCUUUCCUCUGCUCAAUAAAACAACGCAACAAAAAGGGUAUCAUCUUUUUUAAUACUAUAGCAUCCAUGUUGUGGGUCUUAUGGUUGGAGAGAAAUAAUCGCAUUUUCAAGGAUAAGGAAAAAUCUACCAUUGAUCUUUGGGAAGACAUCCUUUCUCUCUCGGGGCUGUGGGCUAGCAAAUACUCUAUGUUUGCAAAUUAUAGUGCUUCCUCCAUCGCUAUCAAUUUAAAUGCUUUUUAACUUUUUGUUGUGGGCUUAGCUCUAGCCCUUUAGCUUUUCCCACUGUCGUUUGGCUUUUGUCCCCUGCUGUAAUUGUACUAAUUCUUCCUAUAUUAAUGAAAGCAGGGAUGAUGAGGGUGCUAAGGAGGUGUCCACCUAGUGGAGAUGUCCGGAUGCACCUACUGACCCAAC